AUUGAACGCUGGCGGCAGGCUUAACACAUGCAAGUCGAGCGAGCGGCGGACGGGUGAGUAAUUUCUGGGAAACUGCCUGAUGGAGGGGGAUAACUACUGUAACCGUUAGCUAAUACCGCAUACCAUCAGAUGUGCCCAGAGGGGAUUAGCGAGUAGGUGGGGUAAUGGCGCACCUAGGCGACGAUCCCUAGCUGGUCUAAGAGGAUGACCCGCCACACUGGAACUGAGACAAGGUCCAGAAUCCUACGGGAGGCAGCAGUGGGGAAUAUUGCACAAGUGGCGCAAGCCUGAUGCAGCCAGGCCGUGGGUGUGAAGAAGGCCUUCGGGUUGUAAAGCACUUUCAGCGAGGAGGCGGUACUCGCAGAAGAAGCACCGGCUAACUCCCGGCCAGCAGCCGCGGUAAUAC
rnacentral:rRNA from 1 species